CAACUUGUCGCCGCUAAAAAGUGUAUCAAAAACCUUUGGCGGGCUCAGACCUCACUCAAUCCCUCCCAAAUCACACCACUCCCUCCCCCAAACCCUAGGCUGUCUAAUGCCGCACACCACACCACACUAUGCCAGACCACCUCAUCUGCGACGCUGCAUCAUCUCUCCGAACAACCUCUUCAACGUCGUCGGACCACCAGGGCGUGUCUUUUGCUCUGGAGUCGGUUUUGUGUCCGUCACCUGCUUUGUCAUCCUCAUCACUCAUAAAUACACCAUCAACAAAUGACUAUUCAGGUAUGGGAGAUUGCUAACCGGUUGCAGAUUGAACAUAAAAAUUUAUGGGUAUGGAAUAUCGGGGCAUAGUCAAUGGCUAUUCAGGUCUGCAUAAUUACUAUAUGUUAGUAAGACAAUUGGAAAUGAAUAGUGUAUUCAACGGCAGGUUAGGGCCUCAGGAUUUCAAAACAAAUCUGCUCCAGCAAUUAAAAAACUAAGUGAAGCUGCCUUCCGGCGACCACGAUUGGCAAGCCGAGAUCUGUGUAGUCUAUUUCCUGAUCUGGUCUUUUAGUGUCACUGGUUGACUGGUUGCUGAUCACGGUGAACUCUAAAACUCACAAAUUACCAUUCGAUUAUUACAUUUUCUACCACAGUUUUUUGUUAUACAGUGCACAUUAAUGCUCUGCUAGGAUUGUCUUGAUAAAUAGUAAAGGCAUUUGGAAAUUAAAUGGGUCAAAUGAGUCGAAUGAUUUGAAAGUUACCUUUUACCUGGCCUAUUUUUCUCAUAAUAUAUGUGCUUUUGUCUAAAAUGAAACGUGUCAGGUGACUUAACUGAAUCAAAAGUGGUUAAACUGUUUACAUUUACGGUGAACCAAAGGCGAACUGAAAAGAAUGCAGCCAUGUCUUCUUUGAUUGGAUGGUUAAACGUAACGGGUCAAAAUGAACUUUAAUUUUUAUAAUUUGUUUCAUUUGUUGAUGAGAGUUUGUGAAAAAGGCAUUAACAUGCUUAUUCCACUCAGGAUCAGCAAUAAGUGACACUAAAAGAAAGCACAUACUCAUAUCCAAAGGAAUGCAGUUAAAGUCGUCGACAACAACGGCACCGUCGGCGGCAUCAAAUGCAAAAAUGUCAUUGGAGUAGAGAAGCUGAUGGCGUCAAAGCUGAUGUCUCGACUAAUCAUAGAAUUCAUUUGCAUAGUUAGGAGGAUACUUUCUCAGAUUUUGUUCUACACAAAAGAAUUUUCUUGAUUUUGAUGGUCAGAUUUUUAAAUUUCAGUGUUUAUAGUGGACGAGCCGAUGGCAUGCUGCUGCUGCUUUUGGUGAUUAUAUAUUUGUGGCGGUCUACGUGGAGGUAACACUAUACCCUGCAGUUUUAAAUUAACGUUUUUGUAACCAGAUGAGUAAUUAUAGUCUUGAUUGGUUAGUUGAUUCUUUUGUAGUUUAGUCAUAUUUUCAAAACUAAAAUUUUAAGUUUUUUAUGGCUGCAUACAAGCUCAUAAUCUGGACUAAGAACUUAUAUUCUAUUCACUCCUUGCCGGUGCAAACUAGUCGAGCCGAUUUUGAUUUUACUCACCGUUUAACUGUAUAACAUAACCCGAAUACAUUUAGAUGUUAAUGGAUUGAAACUAAGGAUGUGUUAAAGGGUUAAAUGGGAACCGGCUAAAGGGUUAGAAUGGGUUGUUCUCAAAGGUUAUAAAGGGUUAGAAUGGCAAUGAUCGGCAGUCAUAAAACGAGCCUGUUGUGAUUACUCAGGUCGGGGAAAUAGUAGUAAAACUGUAAACCGAAAACAGCAGCACAGAAUUUUUUUUUACUGGUUUUUUGACUUUUAGCGGCGACAAAUGUCGUCACUAAAGGUCAAAAUGUCGCCGCUAAAAGUGAACAAUUAUUAGCGAGGACAUCUUUAGCGGCGACCAAGGGCUUUUAGCGACGGAUCAAUAGCGGCGACCUUUUAGCGGCGACAAGUCGCCGCUAAAGCCUUUAGCGACGACAAAUGGGACUUUUAGCGACGACAAAAGUCGCCGCUAAUGCUUCGUUUUCUUGUAGUGUUUGUAACUUGGGGCCUGACCUAUGCUCCUUAACUGGGAAAGGAGGUGGCAGGUACUGUUGUUGUAAUUUAAUUAUUUUCAGAACUGAUUACAUAAAAUCUUACCACAGUAUAUCGUAUUUUAUGUGGUGGUCUGGUAGAAACAAAGACAUAUAUAGUGUUUUAUGUGGUGCUGGGUUGAAAUGGGUUACUUAAUGCUAGUAUGAUGGUAACUAGAGGUGGCAAGAGGGCCG